UAAUGUGGUGACCUGGCUGUGUAUGAGAGCAUCCCUGUGUGCACGAGUGUCUACUGACUCAUGAAGGGCUAUUCAAUAGGGAAUGUGUGUCUAUCUGUGUGCAUGUGUAGCUCUGUGUCUGCAGAUGUGUAUGUGUGUGUGUGUAUGUGUAUCUGUGUGCAUGUGUAGCUCUGUGUCUGCAGAUGUGUGUGUGUGUAUUUGUGUAUGUGUAUCUGUGUGCACGUGUAGCUCUGUGUCUGCAGAUGUGUGUGUGUAUCUGUGUAUGUGUAUCUGUGUGCAUGUGUAGCUCUGCAGAUGUGUGUGUGUGUGUAUAUCUGUGUGCACGUGUAGCUCUGUGUCUGCAGAUGUGUGUGUGUGUGUGUGUAUCUGUGUGCAUGGGUAGCUCUGUGUUUGCAGAUGUGUGUGUGUGUGUGUGUAUAUGUGUGCAUGGGAAGCUCUGUGUCUGCAGAUGUGUGUGUGUAUCUGUGUGCAUGUGUAGCUCUGUAUCUGCAGAUGUGUUUGUGUGUGUGUGUAUCUGUGUGCAUGUGUAGCUCUGUGUUUGUAGGGGGGGGUGUGUGUGUAUCUGUGUGCAUGGGUAGCUCUGUGUCUGUAGGGGUGUGUGUGUGUGUAUCUGUGUGCAUGGGUAGCUCUGUGUCUGCAGAUGUGUAUGUGUGUGUGUAUCUGUGUGUGUGGGUAGCUCUGUGUCUGCAGAUAUGUGUGUGUGUGUGUAUCUGUGUGCAUGGGUAGCUCUGUGCAGGUGUGUGUGUGUGUAUGUGCGUGAAGGUAAGUUUGUGUGUAUAGAUAUAUAUGGGUGUGGAUGUGUGUGUGUAGGAAUGUGUGUGUGUAUAUAUAGAUAUAUGGCAGUGGGUGUGUGAGGAAUAGGUGUGUAUCUGUGUGUGUAUGUCUGUGUAUGGGGGGUAGGAC